rnacentral:rRNA from 1 species
GGCUCAUCAGCUAGCCCCACCAUUAGUGCAAGUACUAAUAAUUAUUCAAUAUAAACUAAACCCUAAUACCCCUUAACCCACCAAAACAAACCAUUUUUCCCCCUUAGUAUGGGCGACAGAAAAGGAACUCGAGGAGCUAUAGAGAAAGUACCGCAAGGGAACGCUGAAAGAGAAGUGAAACAUACUCACAAGCCCGAAACAGCAGAGAUUCUCCCUCGUACCUUUUGCAUCAUGAUUUAGCUAGUAAACCUUAAGCAAAGAGAACUUUAGUUUAAGACCCCGAAACUAUGGUGAGCUACUCCGAGACAGCCUAUGUAAAAGUUAGGGCGAACCCGUCUCUGUGGCAAAAGAGUGGGAAGAGCUCCGAGUAGUGGUGACAGACCUAUCGAACCUAGUUAUAGCUGGUUGCCUGGAAGAUGGAUAGAAGUCCAGCCUCAUGGCUUCUCUCCUCAACACCCGGAGGCACUGCCUACAUCAUAAGGAUAAUUUCAGAAACCAUGAGAGUUAAUCAGAGGAGGCACAGCUCCUCUGAUAAAAGAUACAACUUUAGCAGGAGGGUAAAGAUCAUAUUUAUAUUAAGGCUAAGUGUCCGAGUGGGCCUAAGAGCAGCCACCCCUACGAAAAGCGUUAAAGCUUAAACAUGAUAGCCCCCUAAAAUAACGAUAAUUUUAUCUUAACCCCCUAGACCCUACCAGGCCGCUCCAUACCUAUAUGGAAGUGAUAAUGCUAGAAUGAGUAAUAAGAGAGCCAGACUCUCUCCUCGCACAAGUGUAAUUCGAUACGGACCUACCAUCGAAAAUUAACGGCCCCAAUAAAAGAGGGAAAUGAAUAACCAUACAAACAACUAGAAAAAUUAUCACCCCCCCUAACCGUUUACCCCACACUGGAGUGCCUUUUAGGAAAGACUAAAAGAAAAAGAAGGAACUCGGCAAACACCUAGAGCCUCGCCUGUUUACCAAAAACAUCGCCUCUUGCAAAUCAAUAAAUAAGAGGUCCUGCCUGCCCAGUGACCCUAGUGUUCAACGGCCGCGGUAUCACUAACCGCGCGAAGGUAGCGCAAUCACUUGCUCUUUAAAUGGGGGCCCGUAUGAAUGGCGUGACGAGGGCUUGACUGUCUCCUUUUUCAGGUCAAUGAAAUUGAUCUCCCCGUGCAGAAGCGGGGAUAUUAACAUAAGACGAGAAGACCCUAUGGAGCUUUAGACACUAAGGCAGACCACGUUAAACAUCCCCUGUGAAAGGGUUAAACUGUAUGGCCACUGCCCUAAUGUCUUCGGUUGGGGUGACCGUGGGGGAAAACAGAGCCCCCAUGCGGAAAGGACCACCGUGUCCUGAACCAAGAGCUUCCACUCUAAUGCCCAGAAUUUCUGACUAAAAGUGAUCCGGCAACGCCGAUUAACGAACCAAGUUACCCUAGGGAUAACAGCGCAAUCCUCUUUUAGAGCUCAUAUCGACAAGAGGGUUUACGACCUCGAUGUUGGAUCAGGACAUCCUAAUGGUGCAACCACUAUUAAGGGUUCGUUUGUUCAACGAUUAAAGUCCUACGUGAUCUGAGUUCAGACCGGAGUAAUCCAGGUCGGUUUCUAUCUAUGUUAUGAUCUUUUCUAGUACGAAAGGACCGAAAAGGAGAGGCCCAUGCCAAAAGCACACCUCACCCCCAACUAAUGAAUACUACUAAAAUAGAGAAGGGGGCAUAAACCCACAACUUGACACCUGAGAUAACGGUAU